rnacentral:rRNA from 1 species
ACGUACACUCCUACGGGAGGCAGCAGUGGGGAAUAUUGGACAAUGGGCGCAAGCCUGAUCCAGCCAUGCCGCGUGAGUGAUGAAGGCCCUAGGGUUGUAAAGCUCUUUCACCGGUGAAGAUAAUGACGGUAACCGGAGAAGAAGCCCCGGCUAACUUCGUGCCAGCAGCCGCGGUAAUACGAAGGGGGCUAGCGUUGUUCGGAUUUACUGGGCGUAAAGCGCACGUAGGCGGACUAUUAAGUCAGGGGUGAAAUCCCGGGGCUCAACCCCGGAACUGCCUUUGAUACUGGUAGUCUUGAGUUCGAGAGAGGUGAGUGGAAGUCCGAGUGUAGAGGUGAAAUUCGUAGAUAUUCGGAGGAACACCAGUGGCGAAGGCGGCUCACUGGCUCGAUACUGACGCUGAGGUGCGAAAGCGUGGGGAGCAAACAGGAUUAGAAACCCGUGUAGUCCCAUGAU